AGGCUGUUAGAUCAGUGGUUAGAUCGUUGAUCUUACACAUCAAAGACAUAGGUUCGACUCCUAUACGGCCUA